UACGUAGGGUGCAAGCGUUAAUCGGAAUUACUGGGCGUAAAGCGUGCGCAGGCGGUUUUGCAAGACCGAUGUGAAAUCCCCGGGCUUAACCUGGGAAUGGCAUUGGUGACUGUACGGCUAGAGUGUGUCAGAGGGGGGUAGAAUUCCACGUGUAGCAGUGAAAUGCGUAGAGAUGUGGAGGAAUACCGAUGGCGAAGGCAGCCCCCUGGGAUGACACUGACGCUCAUGCACGAAAGCGUGGGGAGCAAACAGG
rnacentral:rRNA from 1 species